UGCAUGCCAUGGUGUAGCAUGGCGUAGCAGGGGGGCUCUCCUAGCAGCAGAAAACACACAUACAAAAAGGGAAAUUCGGCCAAAUCCAGGAUAACGCAAAACUGAUUCUGGUGUGCAACACUUUGUUGUAGAUCAGGAAAUACUCUGGAAUAAUAUCGGCAAUAAUUUUCCAUAUGCUGGGCAAAAAUCUCCAAGUAAGAACACCAAGGUGGCUGGAAUUGAUCUCAAUGAGCUUCCUGACGAAGCCACUGAUUGUGGUAGUAUCCCACUAUACUGCACAAAAGCACCACGUGAUGGGUUGGGCGAGUCACUAGAUUUCCUUGAGGGGGUGGGUGAGCCAUUGGAUUUCCUUUCUGCUCCUAUAAAAGAUGUCCCAGGUGUGAAGUUUCAUCUUGCGGCCAUUGCUGCUACUGGUGCAUACUAAGGAUAAGCGACUUUGUGGGAUCAAUUAGGCGAUGAAGUGUAUAGGGCUAGGUGACUCGAUUGUUUUGAUCUCAAUAAGCUUCGUGAUGACUGUUCAGUAUAGCACAAUCAUCGAUUGUUUCCAUCAUACCUCCCCUAAAUGUGCAGAUGGAUGGUUUUGAUAUCAAUAAGCUUCCUGA